rnacentral:lncRNA from 1 species
GGUGCUAAGGGUCCAUGUGAAGGGAGUGGUCCACGGGUCCAUGGGAUUUAUUCACGGUCAGCAAACACUCUAAAUGGGAAAAGUCAACUUGUGAUACAAAUGGGUUAGCCCAUUUGAUCAUAAGUUAGUCAAUUUGGUUCUAAACCAAAUUUGCAGCCCAUUUGAAUGAAUUUUUGACCCGAAAAAAUUCCACAUGAGUCUGACUCAUAGGAGAUUCAAUUGGGUCUAGUUUCGGCUCGAUCCAAGUCCGACUUAGAUCAGAACAAAUAUGAAAUUAAAUCUCAAUUAAAUCAUGAUCGAGCCCAAUUACACUAAUUUAGACCCAAUCAAAUCCAAUCUCAACAAUUG